GGGGUUGUGGCUUAGAGGUAGAGCGCUCACCUAGCAAGUGUGAGGUGCUGGGUUUGAUCUUCAACACCA
rnacentral:tRNA from 1 species